AUUGAACGCUGGCGGCAGGCUUAACACAUGCAAGUCGAGCGGAGCGAGGGUGCUUGCACCUUAGCUUAGCGGCGGACGGGUGAGUAAUGCUUAGGAAUCUGCCUAUUAGUGGGGGACAACAUUCCGAAAGGAAUGCUAAUACCGCAUACGACCUACGGGGGAAAGCAGGGGAUCUUCGGACCUUGCGCUAAUAGAUGAGCCUAAGUCGGAUUAGCUAGUUGGUGGGGUAAAGGCCUACCUAGGCGACGAUCUGUAGCGGGUCUGAGAGGAUGAUCCGCCACACUGGGACUGAGACACGGCCCAGACUCCUACGGGAGGCAGCAGUGGGGAAUAUUGGACAAUGGGGGGAACCCUGAUCCAGCCAUGCCGCGUGUGUGAAGAAGGCCUUAUGGUUGUAAAGCACUUUAAGCGAGGAGGAGGCUCUUUUGGUUAAUACCCAAGGUGAGUGGACGUUACUCGCAGAAUAAGCACCGGCUAACUCUGUGCCAGCCGCCGCGGUAA
rnacentral:rRNA from 1 species